rnacentral:rRNA from 1 species
UACGUAGGGGGCUAGCGUUGUCCGGAAUCAUUGGGCGUAAAGCGCGUGUAGGCGGUCCGGUAAGUCCGCUGUGAAAGUCGGGGGCUCAACCCUCGAAUGCCGGUGGAUACUGUCGGGCUAGAGUGCGGAAGAGGCGAGUGGAAUUCCUGGCGUAGCGGUGAAAUGCGCAGAUAUCAGGAGGAACACCAAUUGCGAAGGCAGCUCGCUGGGACGUUACUGACGCUGAGACGCGAAAGCGUGGGGAGCAAACAGG